rnacentral:rRNA from 1 species
UGGGGAAUUUGGACAAUGGGCGAAGCCUGAUCCAGCAAUGCCGCGUGUGUGAAGAAGGCCUUCGGGUUGUAAAGCACUUUUGUCCGGAAAGAAAUCCUUGGCUCUAAUACAGUCGGGGGAUGACGGUACCGGAAGAAUAAGCACCGGCUAACUACGUGCCAGCAGCCGCGGUAAUACGUAGGGUGCAAGCGUUAAUCGGAAUUACUGGGCGUAAAGCGUGCGCAGGCGGUUUGCUAAGACCGAUGUGAAAUCCCCGGGCGUCAACCUGGGAACUGCAUUGGUGACUGGGCAGGCUAGAGUAUGGCAGAGGGGGGUAGAAUUCCACGUGUAGCAGUGAAAAUGCGUAGAGAUGUGGAGGAAUACCGAUGGCGAAGGCAGCCCCUGGCAA